UUGACCUCAAAUCGGGUGAGACUACCCGCUGAACUUUAAGCAUAUCAAUAAGCGGAGGAAAAGAAACUAACAAGGGAUUCCCCUAGUAACUGCGAGU
rnacentral:rRNA from 1 species